UACGGAGGAUGCAAGCGUUAUCCGGAAUUACUGGGUGUAAAGGGAGCGCAGACGGCAUUGCAAGUCAGAUGUGAAAGUCCGGGGCUUAACUCCGGGAGUGCAUUUGAAACUGCAGGGCUUGAGUACCGGAGAGGUAAGCGGAAUUCCUAGUGUAGCGGUGAAAUGCGUAGAUAUUAGGAGGAACACCAGUGGCGAAGGCGGCUUACUGGACGGUAACUGACGUUGAGGCUCGAAAGCGUGGGGAGCAAAC
rnacentral:rRNA from 1 species